AACGAACGCUGGCGGCAUGCCUAACACAUGCAAGUCGAACGAGACCUUCGGGUCUAGUUGCGCACGGGUGCGUAACGCGUGGGAACCUUCCCUUAGGUUCGGAAUAACUCCCCGAAAGGGGUGCUAAUACCGGAUAAUGUCUUCGGACCAAAGAUUUAACGCCCUUGGAUGGGCCCGCGUUGGUUUAUCUAGUUGGUAGGGUAAAAGCCUAUCAGGGCGACGAUCUAUAGCUGGUCUGAGAGGAAGAAGAGACACACUGAGAGUGAGACACGGCACAGACUCCUGCGGGAGGCAGGAGUGGAGAAUAUUGGAAAAUGGGCGAGAGCCUGAUAGAGCUACGGCGCGGAAGUGAUGAAGGCAUGAGGGUUGUACAGCUCUUUUAGCCGGGAUGAUAAUGACGGUACCGGGAGAAUAAGCUCCGGCUAACUCCGUG
rnacentral:rRNA from 1 species